AAGGACAAAGAACAACUUCAGCCAAUUUAUGUUUAUUCUACGUCAGUUGUGUUUAUUAUUUGGUGUGUGUUUAUCCUAGGAUAGUUUACAUUUAUUUCAGCAGGAGUUAGUAUUUAUCCUCCUCAAUUAGUGUUUAUCCUGGGAGGACCCUGGGAUCACCCACCUUGUGAACCUCGCGUUUAUGUUUAUUUUAUGGAGUUUGUAUUUAUUUCAGCAGAGUUUCUGUUUAUUAUACAUAAUUUGUGUUUAUUCUAUGGGAUUUGUGUUUAUUCUGGGAUAGUUUGUGUUUAUCGGUGAAAGAAAUCUAUUUUGGUGGUGAGAG
rnacentral:lncRNA from 1 species